CGGCGUAAAGAGUGGUUAUGGAACUAAAAAACUAAAGCCGAAAGCCCAUUAGACUGUCAUACGCACCUAUGAGCCAGAACCCCAAUAAACGAAAGUAGCUUUAUCAACGACCACCAGAGCCCACGACAGCCAAGACACAAACUGGGAUUAGAUACCCCACUAUGCUUAGCCAUAAACCUUGAUGUCCCCAUACAAAGACAUCCGCCAGGGAACUACGAGCACCAGCUUAAAACCCAAAGGACUUGGCGGUGCCCCAGACCCCCCUAGAGGAGCCUGUUCUAGAACCGAUAACCCCCGUUAAACCUCACCACUUCUCGCCUAUUCCGCCUAUAUACCACCGUCGCCAGCUUACCCUGUGAAGGCAAAAAAGUAAGCGAAAUGAAAAUUUCCCAAAACGUCAGGUCGAGGUGUAGCAUACGAAGUGGGAAGAAAUGGGCUACAUUUCCUGACUCAGGAUAUUCACGGAAAGUCACCUGAAACGGUCACUCAAAGGUGGAUUUAGCAGUAAAAAAGGAAUAGAGUGCCUUUUUGAAACCGGCUCUGAGGCGCGCACACACCGCCCGUCACUCUCCCCAACCAACCCACCACUAAAGUAAAUAACACCUUAUAAAAUAACAAGGGGAGGCAAGUCGUAACAUGGUAAGUA
rnacentral:rRNA from 1 species